rnacentral:tRNA from 1 species
GGAGAAGUGGCUGAGUGGCUGAAAGCGCGCCCCUGCUAAGGGUGUAUACGUUUGUAGCGUAUCGAGGGUUCGAAUCCCUCCUUCUCCGCCA